CAGUGAAUAGGCCCAAGCGACUGUUUAUCAAAAACACAGGUCUCUGCUAAACCGUAAGGUGAUGUAUAGGGGCUGACGCCUGCCCGGUGCUGGAAGGUUAAGAGGAGUGGUUAGCUUCUGCGAAGCUACGAAUCGAAGCCCCAGUAAACGGCGGCCGUAACUAUAACGGUCCUAAGGUAGCGAAAUUCCUUGUCGGGUAAGUUCCGACCCGCACGAAAGGCGUAACGAUUUGGGCACUGUCUCAACGAGAGACUCGGUGAAAUCAUAGUACCUGUGAAGAUGCAGGUUACCCGCGACAGGACGGAAAGACCCCGUGGAGCUUUACUGUAGCCUGAUAUUGAAAUUCGGCACAGCUUGUACAGGAUAGGUAGGAGCCUUUGAAACGUGAGCGCUAGCUUACGUGGAGGCGCUGGUGGGAUACUACCCUAGCUGUGUUGGCUUUCUAACCCGCACCACUUAUCGUGGUGGGAGACAGUGUCAGGCGGGCAGUUUGACUGGGGCGGUCGCC
rnacentral:rRNA from 1 species